rnacentral:rRNA from 1 species
AUUCAGCGGCGGACGGGUGAGUAAUGCCUAGGAAUCUGCCUGGUAGUGGGGGACAACGUCUCGAAAGGGACGCUAAUACCGCAUACGUCCUACGGGAGAAAGCAGGGGACCUUCGGGCCUUGCGCUAUCAGAUGAGCCUAGGUCGGAUUAGCUAGUUGGUGAGGUAAUGGCUCACCAAGGCGACGAUCCGUAACUGGUCUGAGAGGAUGAUCAGUCACACUGGAACUGAGACACGGUCCAGACUCCUACGGGAGGCAGCAGUGGGGAAUAUUGGACAAUGGGCGAAAGCCUGAUCCAGCCAUGCCGCGUGUGUGAAGAAGGUCUUCGGAUUGUAAAGCACUUUAAGUUGGGAGGAAGGGKUGUAAAUUAAUACUYUGCUGUUUUGACGUUACCGACAGAAUAAGCACCGGCUAACUCUGUGCCAGCAGCCGCGGUAAUACAGAGGGUGCAAGCGUUAAUCGGAAUUACUGGGCGUAA